rnacentral:tRNA from 1 species
GGCAUUAUGGCCGAGUGGUUAAGGCGAAAGACUCGAAAUCUUUUGGGUUUUACCCGCGCAGGUUCAAAUCCUGCUGAUGUCG